rnacentral:rRNA from 1 species
AUUGGACGCUGGCGGCAGGCCUAACACAUGCAAGUCGAGCGGUAACAGGAAGGAAGCUUGCUUUCUUUGCUGACGAGCGGCGGACGGGUGAGUAAUGCCUGGGAAAUUGCCCUGAUGUGGGGGAUAACCAUUGGAAACGAUGGCUAAUACCGCAUGAUGCCCUUGUUUAUAAUGAACAGGGACCAAAGAGGGGGACCUACGGGCCUCUCGCGUCAGGAUAUGCCCAGGUGGGAUUAGCUAGUUGGUGAGGUAAUGGCUCACCAAGGCGACGAUCCCUAGCUGGUCUGAGAGGAUGAUCAGCCACACUGGAACUGAGACACGGUCCAGACUCCUACGGGAGGCAGCAGUGGGGAAUAUUGCACAAUGGGCGCAAGCCUGAUGCAGCCAUGCCGCGUGUAUGAAGAAGGCCUUCGGGUUGUAAAGUACUUUCAGUCGUGAGGAAGGGGGUAUCGUUAAUAGCGGUAUUCUUUGACGUUAGCGACAGAAGAAGCACCGGCUAACUCCGUGCCAGCAGCCGCGGUAAUACGGAGGGUGCGAGCGUUAAUCGGAAUUACUGGGCGUAAAGCGCAUGCAGGUGGUUUGUUAAGUCAGAUGUGAAAGCCCGGGGCUCAACCUCGGAAUAGCAUUUGAAACUGGCAUACUAGAGUACUGUAGAGGGGGGUAGAAUUUCAGGUGUAGCGGUGAAAUGCGUAGAGAUCUGAAGGAAUACCAGUGGCGAAGGCGGCCCCCUGGA